rnacentral:rRNA from 1 species
CACGUAGGGGGCGAGCGUUGUCCGGAUUUAUUGGGCGUAAAGAGCUCGUAGGCGGCUCGGUAAGUCAGGUGUGAAAACUCUAGGCUCAACCUAGAGACGCCACCUGAUACUGCUGUGGCUAGAGUCCGGUAGGGGAGCAUGGAAUUCCUGGUGUAGCGGUGAAAUGCGCAGAUAUCAGGAGGAACACCAGUGGCGAAGGCGGUGCUCUGGGCCGGUACUGACGCUGAGGCGCGAAAGCGUGGGUAGCAAACAGG